ACGUAGGGUGCAAGCGUUAAUCGGAAUUGCUGGGCGUAAAGCGUGCGCAGGCGGUUGUGCAAGACAGAGGUGAAAUCCCCGGGCUCAACCUCGGAACUGCAUUUGUGACUGCAUCGCUGGAGUGUGUCAGAGGGGGGUGGAAUUCCGCGUGUAGCAGUGAAAUGCGUAGAGAUGUGGAGGAACACCAAUGGCGAAGGCAGCCUUCUGGGCCAACACUGACGCUCAUGCACGAAAGCGUGGGGAGCAAACAGGA
rnacentral:rRNA from 1 species